UGGACCCGGCGCCUGGCCCCCAGAUCUGCAUCGGAAUGCAGAAAAGAUUUAAAAAAAAAAAAGUUUUGAAUUUCUCAAUGAUUUUUCUUCUAGAAAGGCAGCUUAGGAUAAUUAUUUCAGUUUUAUUGAGGGCAGAUUAGCUGAAGUCUGGACGCUGAGUUUCAAUACACGUUGUACACGGGCCGACAAUGUGG
rfam:Loxodonta africana unplaced genomic scaffold scaffold_40, whole genome shotgun sequence.